AGAAGCCUGCAGUACGCGUGAUAUUUUUUUUGUUUCUGAACUAAUGUUUUAUCGGGAAUCGAGCCAUUUGUGGCGCACAUGCCGGACAUGAUCCGGAUCUGCAAAGCAAACAAGGUAGAUGCCCACUUUGAUGUGGGUUCGAGAAAACAAAAAUACACGGUACUGCGGGUCUAUG
rnacentral:other from 1 species